UGAGACCUACGGGGGGCAGCAGUGAGGAAUAUUGGUCAAUGGCCGCAGGGCUGAACCAGCCAAGUCGCGUGAGGGAUGACGGUCCUAUGGAUUGUAAACCUCUUUUGUCAGGGAGCAAAGGGCGCCACGUGUGGCGUUUUGCGAGUACCUGAAGAAAAAGCAUCGGCUAACUCCGUGCCAGCAGCUGCGGUAAUACGGAGGAUGCGAGCGUUAUCCGGAUUUACUGGGUGUAAAGGGAGCGUAGACGGAGGAGCAAGUCUGAUGUGAAAAUCCGGGGCACAACCCCGGAACUGCAUUGGAAACUG
rnacentral:rRNA from 1 species